CCGUUGGGUCGCUUCCUCCGCGGCCUGACGUUUUCUCCUCUAUUUCUCCUUUGUAGACUUGGCACACAUUCACACGAAUGUGUGCAUUUUU
rnacentral:ncRNA from 1 species